GAUGAAGAACGUAGCGAAAUGCGAUAAGUAAUGCGAAUUGCAGAAUUCCAGUGAGUCAUCGAAUCUUUGAACGCACCUUGCGCUCUUUGGUAUUCCGAAGAGCAUGCUUGUUUGAGUGUCAUGAAAAUAUCAACCUUGACUUGGGUUUUGUGCUCUAGUCUCGGCUUGGAAUUGGGUGCUUGCCGCUUUUACGAGCGGCUCACCUUAAAUGUAUUAGCUGGAUCUGUCUUUGAGACUUGGUUUGACUUGGCGUAAUAAGUAUUUCGCUAAGGACAUUCUUCGGAGUGGCCUCGUUUCUAGGACGCUUGUCCGCUUUCCAAUACAAGUUCCACCUCGUGGACAUGACUUUUUAUUAUCUGGCCUCAAAUCAGGUAGGACUACCCGCUGAACUUAAGCAUAUCAAUAAGCGGAGGA
rnacentral:misc_RNA from 1 species